rnacentral:lncRNA from 1 species
CCAAACUAGCUGAUCUAGAAUCAAAAUAAGGCAACAUGAGAGUACUAAGCUACAACGAGCAGCCAAGAAACAGAGGUUAGACGAGUGUAAAAGGAAAAUUUAAACAACCAGCAGGAUAUUUAAGGUUUAACCUUCACUAAGCCUAAAAAUCAUCAAAAGAUAUAAUGAAACUGAGCUAGACAAAUAGAAAUUCGAACAGUAAACAAUCUA